rnacentral:misc_RNA from 1 species
GUCAUCUACACCCUCAAGCACUGCUUGGUGAUGGGCGUCUGUCCCGCCUCUGCGCGUGGACUCGCCCCAAAGACAUUGGCAGCGGUCCUGACCGCCUCUCGCGCAGCACAUUUGCGCGUCUCGAGGCGACGGGUCCGCAUCCACGAAGCUUUUUUACCCAUUUUGACCUCGGAUCAGGUAGGGAUACCCGCUGAACUUAA